rnacentral:lncRNA from 1 species
AUGCCUUCAUCAAUAAUAGCAGGUGCCUUGCCCUUUUCAUCAGCUGAGGAAUAGGUCCGCUUGAGGACUUCGAUUGGGGGCAAGUAGCUGAGGUGAUUCUGAAAAUCAGCCUUGUAGUUGAGUGAAGACCUUGUUCUGAGGAAUCUCAUAAUCCAAGGAGCAUAAGGCUUCAACUCAAACGGAGAGAGCGACAUUGGCCAGAGUCCUCAUGAAGAAAUCAUGGUAGUUGACAGAGGCUUCAUAAGAACUUGCAUAUAAUGGGCGGUCAGUUCAGGCUCUUGGUAUAGGCAACGAGCUCCUUCAGGUGGAGGACUGGUGGGCAGGGCGUGUAGUAAUUCAGAGGCCGGUGCCUUAUAGUCAGUGUUUUCGGUCAUCCAGUCUAGAACAUAGGAGUUCACAUCGUCAGCAUCUCCUGUGAUGUGCAGUGUUGCGUGGAAUUGAAGAAUGAGCUCUUCAUUCCAAUCAACUAUGUCUGUGCAAAAGUUGAGGAGGCCUGCGUGUCACGCCCAAGAUGCGACCCUAUCCUAAAGGAACUCGAAGGUCCCACCAAGGAUAGAAGCGCAUCUUGAAGACGCUUUUGCAAGGUGGAUAUCAUUACAUCAACUUUACAUAAUAGAUGGGGAUACAUAUAAGGCACACAAAUGCCGCAAGAACACAUCAAUACAUCAUACACAAGAUCAACAUCCGACUACGGAUGAGACACAAACAGGGACUCAAACGACAUCCACACUGCUAGCCCAGGCUGCCGACCAGGAACCUAACCCAAGAUCGACGAAGAAGAAGACGAACUCCAACACAAAUAAACAUCGCUCUCGCGUCAUGAGCAUCGCAUAACUUGUACCUGCAACUGUUGUUGUAGUAAUCUGUGAGCCACGAGGACUCAGCAAUCCCAUUACCAUGGGUAUCAAGACUAGAAAAGCUUAAUGGGUAAGGAAGGGGUAAAGUGGUGAGGUUGCAGCAGCGACUAAGCAUGUAUGGUGGCUAACUUACGAAUACAAGAGCGAGAAGAGGAGCUGAACAAGCGGACAUCAACUAGUAAUGAUCAAGAAGUGAUCCUGAACUCCUACUUACGUCAAACAUAACGCAAAAACCGUGUUAUCCUCUCGAACAACCCCGAAAAGAGACAAUCACGGUUACGCACGCGGUUGGUGUAUUUUAGAAGAGUUUACUUCAAGUUUACUACAACCGGAUAUUAACAAAUUCCCAUCUGCCACAUAACCGCGGGCACGGCUUUCGAAAGUUUAAACGCUGCUGGGGUGUCCCAACUUAGCCCAUUAUAAGCUCUCACGAUCAACGAAGGAUAUUCCUUCUCUCGGGAAGACCCGAUCAGUCUCGGAAUCCCGGUUACAAGACAUUUUGACAAUGGUAAAACAAGACCAGCAAGACCUCCCGGCGUGCCGACACCCUGAUAGUAGCCGCGCAUAUCUUGUCUCAGGCCACGACCGGAUGAGCAGUACGUACAACUAAAACCAGCCCUCAAGUUUCCCCGAGGUGGCGCCGCAAGCGGCUCUAGUUCGGACCAACACUUAGAGAAGCAUUGUCCCGGGGGGGGGCUAAAAUAAAGAUGACCCUCGGGUGAAUUACUCCCAAGGGAAAGGUAUAGGUGGUAGGUAGGCAAAUGGUAAAACCAAUGUUGGGCCUUGCUGGAGAAGUUUUAUUCAAGGCGAACUGUCAAGGGGUUCCCAUAACACCCAACCGCGUUAGGGACGCAAAAUCCGGGAACAUAAUACCGAUAUGACGGAAACUAGGGCGGCAAGAGUGGAACAAAACACCAGGCAUAAGGCCGAGCUUCCACCCUUUACCAAGUAUAUAGAUGCAUUAAUAAUAUAAGAGAUAUUGUGAUAUCCCAACAUAAACAUAAUACAACAUGGAGCAAUCUUCAUCUUCACCUGCAACUAGCAAUGCUAUAAGAGGGGCUGAGCAAAAGCGGUAACAUAGCCAAACAACGGUUUGCUAGCAAGGGUGACAAAGGUUAGAGGUUCAUGGCAAUUUGGGAGGCUUGAUAAGCAAGUGGUAGGUAACGCGGCACAGCGAUAGCAUCGAGGCAACUAGAAUAGCAAUGAUAGUAAUGAGAUCCAAGGUGACGGUCAUCUUGCCUGAAAUCCCGCUAGGAAGAAGAACGAGUCCAUGAAGAAGAUGAAGCCACGAAGACGAACCAAGCGUAGACGAACGAAUCCUCACGAUCGGAACGAAACGGGAACUAUCGAGAAGAAGCACACAACAUGGUAAAGACACCACACAUGAACAAGGCAUGAUGCUCAACCAAGUAUGAUGCAUGACAAGGCUACAUGAAGCUACUCAUGGCAAGAGAUGAUACAUACAAGAGCAACACAUCUAAGCAAGUUUAAAUGAGGCCGGAAACAACAUAUAACAAUUCCGGUAAGUCCUCAUAUGCAAAUUUCGAAAUUGGUCCAGAUCUGAAUAAACUUUAGGUUCAAGUUAUUAAACAGCAAGUUAAGAUGCGCCAAAAUGAUCUACACGAAAUUCUAGUCAAGUUACAUAUAAAGUUCAUUUAAUUUGGAGCUACGGCCUACAAGAUAUGAGCAAAACAAGUUAAACAUGGCAUUGAUGCAAAAUGCAUUCAAACAUAAAGCAAACACACUCAAAACAUGGAUGCAACAAGGUAACAUGAAACUACAUGCAAAACUAAGCAAGUUUCAUGUAGAGCACACUCAAAACGGAGCAACGGUUCAACACAUACACAUGAAAGAAGUUUAAAGGACAAGCUGUCCAAAACAGCAACUAGGAAAAUUGCAAGCAUCAAAACAAUAUGCUACAACACCCCAACAUGAAAACAAAUGGCACGGUCGUGAUGUACAGGUAAACAAUUACAAAACAUGAACACUGAGCUAUCUCCAGAAAUCAGUAGAACAUGCUCAAAAGGACAUGGCAAGAUUGCAAAUAAUAAGUUUCACAGACUUUGCAGAAUUUCACUAGACAUGACAGAAAUAACAAUAGGUUGCAAAGUUUAGAGCUAUAAAACAACAUGCUACAAGAAAUUAUCAUGGCAACUAAAGGCAUGUAAUGCUAGUACCAAAGGCAAAAAACAAAACUCCCUUACUGAAAUUAUUCCAAAGAUCAACAGAAAACAUGGUAGCACCCAUGCAAGCAUGGCAAAUGAUAUGGCAGAUUCAGACGGUGAAAAUAACAGCACAUGGCAGGAACAACGACAAGUACGCAUGUUGGUGAGCUUGUACAACUCACUACAUAGCAUGACAUGGCAUUAAAAGGUAACGAACAGUAAGAAGACAUGUUCGUGAAGCUAAGAAUGGCAAUAGAAAGUUCAUAGGGUGCAUGGACCACUAGAAAAACACAUGCCAAAACUGAACUUAAUGUUAACAGGCUGAUGGCAACAUUAUUUUGCAAAUUUAGAGCAACAUUACAACAAGCUACUACAGGCUAUAAAUGCAAAAAAGUCAUUAAUUAAUAUAGCAUCACAUUUAUAACAAAAUAUCCUUAGUGAACAUAUCUAUAUUAUGCAUAGAUUAAUUGGUAGCAUCAAGGAAAGAUAGCAACACGAUAUAACAGUUUUAGCAUUGACAGAACAUCAACAGCAAGUAGCCCAGUUCACAAGCUCGAUGCACUCACUGCAGUGCAUAACAAAAUACAAGGCUUGCCACACUGUAAAGAUGGCAUGCAGUUGCUUCACAAACAUGUAGACAACAUGCUCAAAGGAUGCACACACAAAAUGCAACGAAAAAGACAAAUUACCAAGUUAUAACAAGUUUCAGCAGUUAACAUCAUAUAGCACUCUUGCAACAAUGAUUAGGGCCUCAAGAUGGACUUAAAAAAGCAUGGCACAAUGGAACAAAGUGUAUAGCAUCUCAUGAUCAACAUUUUAAUAUAUCGUGCACGCAAAACGGAGCUACGGGCAUGUAGUUAUGGCAGGUCAAAUAUGCACACAUAAUAAGAUUUUUCAGGGACUUGGCCGAUUUCAGUAAAAAAACAGGUUAGCGGGAUAUAGCAAAAGUGUGCACGGGCGAGGAAUAGAGGGGCUCACCAUGGGCCUGGAGGCCGAAUCUAGAGCCGGGCCAGGGCACUCGGAUGAGGCAGGACGCGGUCAACGCGGCUGGGACGAGCGGGCGUCCUCUGCUCGACAGGAAGCAGAGCCGCGGCGGCGCGGGCAAUGGCAAGGAGGGCGGGGGCCGCCGGGAACGGAGCAGAUCAGCGCGAGGCUGGAUGGAUCUGGCGAGGAGUGGCCGGAUCCCGUGGAGAACGGCGAUGGACGAGGAACUUGGGGCUGCGGCGCCAUGGCCGACGGGAGAACCUCCUGUGAAACGAGAGAUUAGAG